ensembl:lncRNA
AUGAAUUAUGGUGUAACCUGUGGCUGGCAACAGCAUGUCAGAAGUGGGCACCUCCCUAGGGACAGGAGAGAAAUCACAGCCUAACUUCUUCCUGCCUGCUGCAGCCAGAGGUACUGUGUGUGGUACUCUGGAAAACCCUACUUUCCAUAUGAAUCUAUGUAUGUAAGACACUCCUCUGGUUUUUCUCUGACACUGCAACCUGGAGACAAGUCAUUUCUCUAAUGAAGCCAUGCAAAUAUCAUGUGUUCCUCCGUGGAAAGAAGUGGAGAAGGCCAGGAGCAACAGGACACAGAGCAAACUUAAGUUACAAAGUCCUAACCGGAAGCAAGCAGAGAUGCUGGAGCUGUCCUGGAGAAAGAUAGAGUCACAGAAUCAUAGAACCACCAAGGCUGGAAAAGAUCUCCAAGGUCCAACCCAGUCCAACCUCAACUCACCCCCACCACGCCCACUGACCAUGACCCCUCAGUGUCACACCUCCACAUUUCUUGAAC